AUCUUGAAGGGGGAACCCACAGAGACAACUGACCGACCCAAGCUCAUGGGAGCUCAUGGACUCUAGACCAACAAGCUAGGGAGCCUGCAUGGGACCUACCUAGGCCCUCUGUAUGUGGACGACAGUCGUGUGGCUUGCCCAACCCUGAGGUGUAAAGAACUACCACCUUCACGUGACAGAGGAGGACAGCAAGGGACAUCAAAGUUCUGCUACCAAGGAGUCCAGCCUGCGAGUUUUGUUCAAUCCCAGGUAGUUCCAACCAGAGCCCACAGACCUAACUAUUGUUCUCCACUGGCUCCAUAUCUGCUGAUUUUGGAAGCAAGGAAUGGAUGGUACCAUCAGUCCACAGAUUUGAUGAUAGGAAAACUGCCCAAGAAUUUUAAAACUUAUUCCAGAACAUCAUUGAUGCCCAUGGUCAUCAAAACAACACUACCUAGCUCAUGAGCGAGCUCGAGACCUCCCACACAUGUACUUUCAUUAAAUGUGUUCCUCAUGAUUGCAAGAAUAUAUCAAUAAGCUGUUUUAUAUACUUUAUAAAGCAUGCCAACUUAAAAAUAAAGUAACAAACAGAC